ACUUUUGACAAUGGGGGAAACCCUGAUCCAGCCAUCCCGCGUGUAUGAUGAAUGCCUUNGGGUUUNANAGUACUUUUGGCAUAGANGUAAAGGUAUCCCCUAAUACGUGCUACUGCUUCCGGUCUCUUCACAAUAAUCACCGGCUAGCUUCUUGCCACCUGCCGCGGUAAUACGUAGGGGGCAAGCGUUAAUCGGAAUUACUGGGCGUAAAGCGUGUGUAGGCGGUUCGGAAAGAAAGAUGUGAAAUCCCAGGGCUCAACCUUGGAACUGCAUUUUUAACUGCCGAGCUAGAGUAUGUCAGAGGGGGGUAGAAUCCCACGUGUAGCAGUGAAAUGCGUAGAUAUGUGGAGGAAUACCGAUGGCGAAGGCAGCCCCCUGGGAUAAUACUGACGCUCAGACACGAAAGCGUGGGGAGCAAACAGG
rnacentral:rRNA from 1 species